rnacentral:tmRNA from 1 species
AGUCUUGAAUGCCGCGGCGAUCCCUCUAUAUUGGAGGGGUCAGCCGCAAGGCCGACUAUGGUGAUAAACGACUAACGCAAUAAACCCAUUGGACCCGGGGGCAGUACCCGGCGCCUCCACCAAUCUUCCGGUUCGAGCACCGGGCGCUGGGGGCGAAACAGGAUCGACAAGGGCGUAAAGGUUGGUUUUUUGCCCGCGAUUGUACCGGCGUUAUCGGGCUACUUUAUAGUUGCCAAUGACAACUAUGCUCCGGUUGCCGUCGCUGCGUAACGCAGUGCCGAAUACCGAUUCAAAGUCCUCAGGCUUUGCCGCUUGAGGCGGGGUCCGCCGGCACCUGGCAACAGAAGCCGGCACU